AGUGAACGCUGGCGGCGUGCCUAAUACAUGCAAGUCGAACGGAGUGGCGCACGGGUGAGUAAUAUAUAGCUAACUUGCCCAUUACUAAGGGACAACAGUUGGAAACGACUGCUAAUACCUUAUAGUAAUGGAUAGGGCGUUAACGUAUCAGCUAGUUGGUAAGGUAACGGCGUACCAAGGCUAUGACGCGUAACUGGUCUGAGAGGAUGAGCCGUGACACUGGAAGUGAGACACGGUCGAGACUCCUCCGGGAGGGAGCAGUAGGGGAUAGUGCUCAAUGGGGGGAACCCUGAAGCAGCAACGGCGCGUGGAGGAUGACACUUGUCGGAGAGUAAACUCCUUUGAUUGGGAAAGCGGUACCCAAGGAAUAAGCACCGGCUAACUCCGUGCCAGCAGCCGCGGUAAUUC
rnacentral:rRNA from 1 species